rnacentral:rRNA from 1 species
GGCGAACGCUGGCGGCAGGCUUAACACAUGCAAGUCGAGCGGGCGUAGCAAUACGUCAGCGGCAGACGGGUGAGUAACGCGUGGGAACGUACCUUUUGGUUCGGAACAACACAGGGAAACUUGUGCUAAUACCGGAUAAGCCCUUACGGGGAAAGAUUUAUCGCCGAAAGAUCGGCCCGCGUCUGAUUAGCUAGUUGGUAGGGUAAUGGCCUACCCAGGCGACGAUCGGUAGCUGGUCUGAGAGGAUGAUCAGCCACAUUGGGACUGAGACACGGCCCAAACUCCUACGGGAGGCAGCAGUGGGGAAUAUUGGACAAUGGGGGCAACCCUGAUCCAGCCAUGCCGCGUGAGUGAUGAAGGCCCUAGGGUUGUAAAGCUCUUUUGUGCGGGAAGAUAAUGACGGUACCGCAAGAAUAAGCCCCGGCUAACUUCGUGCCAGCCGCCGCCGUAA